GGAGUUGGCCAGGCAGUCGCUCCGGUAAGCAUGUCUUGUCGGGGAGGAAAGUCCGGGCUCCACAGGACAGGGUGCCAGGUAACACCUGGGAGGCGCAAGCCUACGGAAAGUGCCACAGAAAAUAUACCGCCUGACCAUCAUCGAAUGGUCGGGUAAGGGUGAAAUGGUGCGGUAAGAGCGCACCGCGUGGCUGGUAACAGGCACGGCAGGGUAAACCCCAUCUGGAGCAAGACCAAAUAGGGGAACAUCGGUGUGGUCCGCACUGUUCCCGGGUAGGUUGCUCGAGGUGUUCGGUGACGAACAUCCCAGAUGAAUGACUGCUCAAUGACAGAACCCGGCUUAUCGGUCAACUCCCGAU
rnacentral:RNase_P_RNA from 1 species